AGAGUUUGAUCAUGGCUCAGGACGAACGCUGGCGGCGUGCCUAAUACAUGCAAGUCGAGCGGACCAGAACGAAGGGCAACCGGAGUUCUGGUUUAGCGGCGCACGGGUGAGUAACGCGUAGGUAAUCUACUCCGAAGACCGGGAUAACACCUCGAAAGGGGUGCUAAUACUGGAUACGCUCUUUCUUUCGACGGAGGGGAAGAGGAAAGGUGGCGUAAGGCGCAAGCCUGCUACCACUUCGGAAUGAGCCUGCGUCCUAUUAGCUAGUUGGUAGGGUAAUGGCCUACCAAGGCUAUGAUGGGUAGCUGGUCUGAGAGGACGGUCAGCCACACUGGGACUGAGACACGGCCCAGACUCCUACGGGAGGCAGCAGUAGGGAAUAUGGGGCAAUGGGCGAAAGCCUGACCCAGCGACGCCGCGUGGGCGAUGAAGGUCUUUGGAUUGUAAAGCCCUUUUCAGGGAGACGAAGGGAUCGUCGGGAAAUACCUGAUGAUCUUUGACGGUAUCCCUGGAAUAAGCCCCGGCUAACUACGUGCCAGCAGCCGCGGUAAUACGUAGGGGGCGAGCGUUGUCCGGAAUUACUGGGUGUAAAGGGCGUGUAGGCGACCCCUUAAGUUGAAUGUGAAAUCUCCCGGCUCAACUGGGAGGAGUCAUUCAAUACUGAGGGGAUGUGAGGACAGAAGAGGGAAGUGGAAUUCCCGGUGUAGCGGUAAAAUGCGUAGAUAUCGGGAGGAACACCA
rnacentral:rRNA from 1 species